GGUGAACGCUAGCGGCAGGCCUAAUACAUGCAAGCCGAACGGCAAGUUGAGUAGCAAUACUUGACCUAGAGUGGCGUAAGGGUGCGUAACACGUAUGCAAUCUGCCCUCAACAGGAGGAUAGCUCCCCGAAAGGGGAAUUAACCCUCCAUGGGAUCUUAGAGUGGCAUCACUUAGAGAUUAAACCGCAAGGGGUUGAGGAUGAGCAUGCGCAUGANAGUUAGUUGGCGGGGUAACGGCCCACCAAGACGAUGAUCAUUAGGGGAAC
rnacentral:rRNA from 1 species